rnacentral:rRNA from 1 species
UUAACUGACGCUGAGGCACGAAAGCGUGGGUAGCAAACAGGAUUAGAUACCCUGGUAGUCCACGCUGUAAACGAUGAUUACUAGGUGUGGGGGGACUGACCCCUUCCGUGCCGGAGUUAACACAAUAAGUAAUCCACCUGGGGAGUACGGCCGCAAGGUUGAAACUCAAAGGAAUUGACGGGGGCCCGCACAAGCAGUGGAGUAUGUGGUUUAAUUCGAAGCAACGCGAAGAACCUUACCAGGUCUUGACAUCCAACUAACGAGAUAGAGAUAUGUUAGGUGCCCUUCGGGGAAAGUUGAGACAGGUGGUGCAUGGUUGUCGUCAGCUCGUGUCGUGAGAUGUUGGGUUAAGUCCCGCAACGAGCGCAACCCUUGCUAUUAGUUGCUACGCAAGAGCACUCUAAUAGGACUGCCGUUGACAAAACGGAGGAAGGUGGGGACGACGUCAAAUCAUCAUGCCCCUUAUGACCUGGGCUACACACGUACUACAAUGGCCAUCAACAGAGGGAAGCAAAACAGCGAUGUGGAGCAAACCCCUAAAAAUGGUCUCAGUUCAGAUUGCAGGCUGCAACCCGCCUGCAUGAAGUCGGAAUGCUAGUAA